CCAUCAUCAGCUCCAAGUACUUUGAUCACCAAAAACCAUGUCACUGCCAUAGUCUCAAGCAUGUCUGAAAGUACAACACAGAGGUCUUUGGAUGAUACCACAAGACAAAGGGUUUUUCGAUAUAACUUAUCUUGCCAUUCUCUAUUGCUGUACCCAUAGCUCAGUGGUUUCAAACCCAGUCUUCAAAUACCCCCUAAUAGUC